rnacentral:rRNA from 1 species
UCCUACGGGAGGCAGCAGUGGGGAAUAUUGCACAAUGGAGGAAACUCUGAUGCAGCGAUGCCGCGUGAGUGAAGAAGGCCCUUGGGUUGUAAAGCUCUUUCGUCGGGGAAGAAAAUGACUGUACCCGAAUAAGAAGGUCCGGCUAACUUCGUGCCAGCAGCCGCGGUAAUACGAAGGGACCUAGCGUAGUUCGGAAUUACUGGGCUUAAAGAGUUCGUAGGUGGUUGAAAAAGUUAGUGGUGAAAUCCCAGAGCUUAACUCUGGAACUGCCAUUAAAACUUUUCAGCUAGAGUAUGAUAGAGGAAAGCAGAAUUUCUAGUGUAGAGGUGAAAUUCGUAGAUAUUAGAAAGAAUACCAAUUGCGAAGGCAGCUUUCUGGAUCAUUACUGACACUGAGGAACGAAAGCAUGGGUAGCGAAGAGGAUUAGAUACCCUCGUAGUCCAUGCCGUAAACGAUGUGUGUUAGACGUUGGAAAUUUAUUUUCAGUGUCGCAGCGAAAGCGAUAAACACACCGCCUGGGGAGUACGACCGCAAGGUUGAAACUCAAAUGAAUUGACGGA